UCCCCACCGCCGCAGUUCACUGCCCUCCCCGGUCAGCGGCAGGGGUCAGGCCUCCGGAACCUGCACUUCUCAUUCCUGUGUUCACUCCCCGGCUCUGUGGAAGCUGGCACAGCAGGGCGAGGGUGUGGAUGCUCUGUAGCCUUUCUCUGCUACUCCAGGAUUGCUCCCAGGCCUCAGACAUCUCCAGGUGACAGCCUGGCGCCUACCUGCGCUCUCUGCGCCCCAUGAUGGCUGUCAGAGAACGCCUGCGUUAAUUAGAUCUCCGAUUAAAUGGCACAUUAAGUAAUUAUCCUGGGGUAGAUCCCAAAUGGAGUCUAUUUAAAGUGGGUGCCUGAACUUGUGAAUGAAAACAGGAGUGAGUCACGCUCUGCUACACCACGCAGAACCCAAAAGGCAAGAGAGACGCCAACAGGAGUAACUGCUGGCGGCCCCCACUUGCCUCUCGCCCAGCUGGCCAAGCUCUACAAUGCUCCCCGUGCCCUCAGCCUGAAAACCGGUGUCCAGACUGCCUCUAGCUGGGAAGUGGUGCAUCACUGUCCCUCAACUUCAUGCCAGGAGGAGUGAUCCCAUGAACAACACUCAUAGCCUUCACCGGGAGUGACUGGAAGCGAUGUGCUGUUGUUAGGAAAACAGAAAGAGUGAUUAUAGCCAGAGGUGCGGUUCCACCCAACACUGACGAGAAACAGAGACUCAUGGAUGCGUAGACGUGACUCCAUCCAUCUGACCUUUAAUCAAGGUCAUCAGCACGGGUGAAGUCUCAUCCAGAUGGGGAAGUUGAGGAAGCAGGAGCCUGAGGCCUCUGGCACAUCACGUCCACAUCAGGAUGCAGGGAGAGAUGAACGCUGGUGCUCUGUUUGCCUUCUCCUCUCAUUCAGUCCAGGACCCCAACCAUGGAAGGGUACUGUGCAUGUUCAAUUAAACCUUUAGAAGUCUCCUCAUAGACAGGUCCAGAGGUGUGGCUCUUACAUGGCCAUGAGGAUUAUGUCAUAGUGGACAAAGCAAAAGAAAGAGAAAGGGAGACUGGGCAUUCUCUUCCUAGUUCCAUGUACCCCCUGUUUUCAUCUCUUAUUUCAGGCCUUGGGGCUCCUGUCUCCCAGAAGCCACCUGGGACUCUCUAGCCCUUCUAGAUCAACAAUCCCUUAGGUAUAUGACAUUCCUGGUUUUGCUUUAUUGUUAACACAGCCUUUUCUUCCUCCUUUCUCCCUCUCCUGAGUUUGACAAGUUGAGCGGCUGUUUCCAGCUGUUUUCUUGCUCUGUUACAGCCCCACACCUUCCAUUACCUUUAGGUCAGCAAGUGGUCCCUUGUCCAUGCCUUUGCAAUGACCCUCUCCCGAGCCUGCUCCAUACUCCCUCUCAUUGCCCAGGCAGACAUCACCAAUCAAUCACAUUGUUUUCUCCAAGCUAGAUCAGGCUCCACAGGAGGCUUCCUUCUAUCCAGCCACAAGAUCACAGGGGAGAAACAGAUAAAUCUACCUCACACUUCUCAUCUGUCCUUGCAUUCUAGAUCUGAUCUCUCAUAAACCUCAAGUAUGUAGGAGCCCAAAUCCUAGUCUGUUCAACCAUCCAAAUAAUAAAACUAAGAUCCUCACCCCAUGAACCCCUACUUAGCUUAAAUGUUGACAUUCCAAAGCAUAUUCCACAUAGGCUCCCCAAAGUGAACCUGGCUCCAAGGUGGCUUUGCCAGGGAUGGUCAGACCACAGUAGUUCAGGUCUCUGGGGUCUGAGUGUUGAAAUACAGGAAAACUUGACUUCCCAUUCAAAGCAGCCAGAGCUCUGGGUAACCCUUCUCUCCCCACUCAUGAACUAAUCUCUGUCUUUUCUUAUUAAGUACCUUGCAGAGCUGCUUCUGGCUUCCUUCUAUUCCCCCUCCAGGGUUAAGUUUGCAGGUCCCUAAUUCAAAAUGCUCAGACUCAGCUAUCUCAGAUCAGAAUCUUUGAAGCUUUGUAUCCACCUAAUGGGACAUCCUGGGGCUAAGACCUGAGUCUAAAUACAAAUUUCACUCCCCCCACCCUGCACAUACCUUACCCAUGGAGCUGGGAGGUGAUUUCUACAGUUUUGAGUGCACCAGUCGCAGGAAGUCAGGUGUGGAAUUUUCUGUUUGUAACAUCCUGUAGACAGGCAGUGAGUGUCAGGCUCUGGGACUUCAGGUUUUCAAUGGCACACUCCAUCUCUGAGUGUGUACUCUCUCCAGCUACACACUAGGAAGCAUGUGUCUGGACAUUCUGUGAGAAUGUUUCCAGGGAGGUUUUUGCUGAGGCAGGAAGACCCACAUGCAUGUGAUUGGCAUGACCCUUGAGUGGUAGUCUUGAAUAAAAAGGGGGAAAUGGGCCUAGGAGACGGCUCAGUUGGUAAAGUGCUGGCUGAACACCCGUGAGGAGCUGAGUUAGAUUACCCAGAAGCCAUGUAAAAAAAAUCCAGGUGUGAUAGCACGGGCCUGUGAUCUCAGUGAUAGGAGGACUCCUGGGUCUUGGCAGCCUCGGCAAUACAGGUUCAGUGGGAAACCAUCUCAAAAAGUAGAGUGAUUGAGGAAGACACCUAAUAUUAAUCUCUUGUCUACACACACACACACACACACACACACACACACACACACACACACACACACACACACACAUACACACGCACAUACACACACACAUGCACAUUUGCAUGCACUGGAAAGGGAAAGACAGCCACUUUUGCCUGCAUUCUUGGUCUCUGCUUCCUGCUCUCCUGAGUUCUGGGGGUCCCCAGACACAUUCCCAUGCCCUGCGUUCUGCCAUUUCUUUCCCUCUGUGGAGGGCUGUACCCUCACAAACCACAAAACAAAACUGACCCUGCCUUCCCUAUCCUGGUUCUAUCGGGUACUGAUACAAGAAGCCUGCAUUUCUUUGUGUGUGGCACGCGACUUGAGUCCAUGGCCCUGGGUGCCAGCUAAGCACCAUGCCCCUUGGCCCGCCUUGUGUUUUCUUUACUCUCAAGUAAACAGAACCACCAGUCUGUGUCUUUCUGAGUCUUUGAAAGUUCUCAGCACCAAGUGGUGUUUGUUUGUUUUAAACUGUGAAUUCGAUUUCUCAGCUGACAUGGAGCUGUUGAAUUCUACUUUCUUUUAAAUUGAUUUUGCACUGAUUGUCUUGCAAUGAACUUGUACAUUUCAUCUAAUUUGUAAAUUUAUUGACAGAAAGGUGUUAUCCUUUCAUUGAUAUCCCUUCAGUGUCUACUGCACCUGUGAGACAUGUCUUCUCACUUUAAGGCCAGUCAUCUACCUGUCUCCUUUCGCUUUUAUUUACCCUCUGUGUGUGUGUGUGUGUGUGUGUGUGUGUGUGUGUGUGUGUGCACUUGCAUACAGAUAUAUAUAUAUAUACAUGUGUGUGCACGUGUCUGUAAACCCAAAGGAUGGUAUGGAUGUCUUCCUCGGUUGCUUUCCACCUUAUUUUUUGAGACAGGGUCUCUCAUUGGUGCCUGGGGUUAGACUGCCUGGCCACUGAACCCUGGGGAUCCUCCUUUUUUUGUCUCCCCAGUAUUGAAAUUACAUGCACAUGUGGCCAAGCCUGGCUUUUCCCAUGGGUGCUGGGAGUGGCACUCAUGUCCCCAGGCUUGUGUGCCAAGCUCAUUGAACCACCUCCCAGCCACGUCUCUUUUUCCUGAGUGUCUUGCUAAAGGUUUACCAAUGUUAUUGUGGCUUCGGGAAGUUGACCCUUUCCUUUCCUUCUGCUGCUCAGGUGUCCACCCAUCUAUUUAUUGCUUUGUAUUUAACUUUUCUCACUGUGGUAAAAUACACACAAGGUGAACACCACAGCAUAAGCUGUGUUUAAGUACAAUUCAGUCUCUACACUGCUGUACCUCUGUCAUCGGCCGUUUCCAGAAGGUUCUCAUCUUCCACAGCUGGAACUCUGCACCAAGGAGAUGGUUUCUACAUAGGGAGCAACCUUUGCCUCUGACUCCAUGAGACUGACUGAGUUUAUGGCCGAGUGCUUUUAUGACAGCUGACUUCACUAUGCGGUCUUCAAGGCUCAUUCAGGAGACAGCUUCAUGAAACUAUUACCAUGCCUGAACAUGGAAUUUGGGGCAACUGGAUCUGUGUUCCCGGGCCACAGUCACUCAUAUUUGGCUUGAGAAUAAACUACUUUUAUCACCAUCUGAAGCAGCAGCUGUGUUUCUAAUGGCAUCGGGAUAGUGUAAGAUGUUGUGAUGUGUUUGCUUUUUCCCCAGCAUAAUCUGAUCAUCCCAUCACCAUCUUAGACUAGAAAUAACCUUGGCCAAUAGUAAUGCCAGAGCAGAACCACACAGUGGCAACAAGUCUGUGGUCCAUGGUGACGGCCAUGGGAAUAUUAAUACUCCAUUGUGGAUGGAGUUGGGAGGAGGCCCCUGGGACCCUCAUCUGGGAUUCUGGCCAUCACUAAUUCUUGCCACACCCCCAGCUGCACGUGCCCCAGGAGAUGAUGGAGAAUAGGAAGUAGAUAGAAGGUUACCUGAAGGUUGAGCUCAAAGGAUGAAGCCACUGUGUGUAGUUGCCUGUGCUGGGAUUGGCCUUUCGAUCACACAGCUGCCUAUCAUUUCCUGUAGAGAGGAGAACAAACAUCCACCCUCCCCCUCAUUGGGCACUGAGAACAGACGCAAGCAAGGCAAGGAUCCCACCCACCCACAUCCAGCGGGGUGAGACAGUAAGU